AUUGAACGCUGACGGCAUGCCUUACACAUGCAAGUCGAACGGUAGCGGGCCUUCGGGUGCCGACGAGUGGCGAACGGGUGAGUAAUGUAUCGGAACGUACCUUUCAGUGGGGGAUAACGUAGCGAAAGUUACGCUAAUACCGCAUAUUCUGUGCGCAGGAAAGCAGGGGACCUUCGGGCCUUGCGCUGAUUGAGCGGCCGAUAUCAGAUUAGCUAGUUGGUGAGGUAAAGGCUCACCAAGGCAACGAUCUGUAGCGGGUCUGAGAGGAUGAUCCGCCACACUGGAACUGAGACACGGUCCAGACUCCUACGGGAGGCAGCAGUGGGGAAUUUUGGACAAUGGGGCAACCCUGAUCCAGCCAUGCCGCGUGAGUGGAGAAGGCCUUCGGGUUGUAAAGCUCUUUCGGCCGGGAAGAAAUCGUAUCAGCUAAUACCUGGUGCGGAUGACGGUACCGGCAUAAGAAGCACCGGCUAACUACGUGCCAGCAGCCGCCGUAACAC
rnacentral:rRNA from 1 species